rnacentral:rRNA from 1 species
CAGUAGCCACGGUAAUACAGAGGGUGCAAGCGUUAAUCGGAAUUACUGGGCGUAAAGCGCGCGUAGGUGGUUCGUUAAGUUGGAUGUGAAAUCCCCGGGCUCAACCUGGGAACUGCAUCCAAAACUGGCGAGCUAGAGUAGGGCAGAGGGUGGUGGAAUUUCCUGUGUAGCGGUGAAAUGCGUAGAUAUAGGAAGGAACACCAGUGGCGAAGGCGACCACCUGGGCUCAUACUGACACUGAGGUGCGAAAGCGUGGGGAGCAAACAGGAUUAGAGACCCCCGUAGUCCCUGUCUCUUAUAC